UACGAAGGGGGCUAGCGUUGCUCGGAAUCACUGGGCGUAAAGGGCGCGUAGGCGGCCGAUUAAGUCGGGGGUGGAAAGCCUGUGGCUCAACCACAGAAUUGCCUCGAUACUGGUUGGCUUGAGACCGGAAGAGGACAGCGGAACUGCGAGUGUAGAGGUGAAAUUCGUAGAUAUUGGGAAGAACACCGGUGGCGAAGGCGGCUCACUGGCUCGUAUCUGACGCUCAGGCGCGACAGCGUGGGGAUCGAAACAAGG
rnacentral:rRNA from 1 species